rnacentral:rRNA from 1 species
AUUGAACGCUGGCGGCAUGCCUUACACAUGCAAGUCGAACGGUAACAGGUUAAGCUGCCGAGUGGCGAACGGGUGAGUAAUGUAUCGGAACGUGCCCAGUCGUGGGGGAUAACUGCUCGAAAGAGCAGCUAAUACCGCAUACGACCUGAGGGUGAAAGCGGGGGAUCGCAAGACCUCGCGCGAUUGGAGCGGCCGAUAUCAGAUUAGGUAGUUGGUGAGGUAAAGGCUCACCAAGCCGACGAUCUGUAGCUGGUCUGAGAGGACGACCAGCCACACUGGGACUGAGACACGGCCCAGACUCCUACGGGAGGCAGCAGUGGGGAAUUUUGGACAAUGGGCGCAAGCCUGAUCCAGCCAUGCCGCGUGCGGGAAGAAGGCCUUCGGGUUGUAAACCGCUUUUGUCAGGGAAGAAAAGGUUCUGGCUAAUACCUGGGACUCAUGACGGUACCCGAAGAAUAAGCACCGGCUAACUACGUG